GUGCCAGCCGCCGCGGUAAUACGUAGGGGGCGAGCGUUGUCCGGAAUAAUUGGGCGUAAAGGGCGUGUAGGCGGCUUUACAAGUCAGUAGUGGAAGUCCCAUUUUCAAGGUGGGGAGGGCUAUUGAAACUGUAGGGCUUGAGUGCAGGAGAGGUUAUCGGAAUUCCCGGUGUAGCGGUGAAAUGCGUAGAGAUCGGGAGGAACACCAGUGGCGAAGGCGGGUAACUGGACUGUAACUGACGCUGAGACGCGAAAGUGUGGGGAGCAAACAGGAUUAGAUACCCUGGUAGUCCACACUGUAAACGAUGAAUGCUAGGUGUAGGGGGUAUCGACCCCUUCUGUGCCGCAGUAAACACAGUAAGCAUUCCGCCUGGGGAGUACGGUCGCAAGAUUAAAACUCAAAUAAAUUGACGG
rnacentral:rRNA from 1 species